AGUUCAUUUAUCAAGAAAAUCUGGUCUAUCAAAUAGCGUCAUCAGCUAUACAAUAAACACGGGCCAUUGAAAUUUGAAACCUGAAUGAGAAAAUAGACCCACCGGAAGAAUUAUCAAAUGCUUAAUAAAAGCGACCCACUUGCUUUAAGGAUGAAUUCUCACAGAAAUCGUACUGCAGUCUGCAGAUGCAGGUGCAGGGCAGCAGGGAGAUGCCAAAAUUUGAGACAAAUAUUGCUCUGUUGGCUUAGAAUGACAGCUCAUCUGACAUGAUACCACAAGUAGAAAUAGCAUAACUUGCGUACAUAAGCGAAAAUUGGCACAAAGCAAAUAUGGAGGAGGGAGCUGCAGAACCAGACAAUGGGGGAAUGGAAUUAGAUGAGAAUAUGUAAAGGCAAAAUGGCUUUGGAGAUAAAGACAAAAAGUGGAAGGUAGGAGUCACAGAGUAAUCAAAACACCCACAUAAGUCUCUCAUUGCUUUCUGCUGGAGACAAAGCAGCUUGGAGCAGAAAGG
rnacentral:lncRNA from 1 species